GUCACCUCUCACCAUAUACAGCAACAUGAAUGUAUUCGUAUACAACAACAGAAAACAUCAUCUGUCACCAUCCCCCUCUUAUGACCAAAAAAAGGGUGUGCAUGCAUGACAUUAUUUAUAUACAACAUAAGUAAUGACAUAGUAGCAUCUAGUAGGGGCGCUCGUCGUCCUGGUAAGAAGGAUCGUAGCUGCAAAUGGCAUAGUUUUGUCCAUUCUUGCAUUUUGAAAUGCCACAUCCAACAUAAGUAGUUUUGCCCUAUAUCACACCAAGACAGUGGCCACAUUCAUCUCGGACACAUUUGUUUUGCUGGUAGUCAUAAAAUUCCUUCUCGGUGACCUAGUAUUUGGUAGCGGCUGCACUGGUCAUGCCAUCACCGGAGGCCAAGUUCUCGCCGUAAGGCCCCAUUGAGUGCUCCAUUUGGAAGUCCUCGAUUCAUUUGUCGGCAUAAGCUUGAGCGUACUCGGCUAUGGUCUCGUUCCAUUUAAGCGGUCCAUUGCCAACCUUGGCACGAGCUAUGUUAUGUUCAUUGAUGAAGCCGUCGAUCUCUUCCUUGGGUAGGAUUGCGGCGACAUGCGUCAUGAUGAUUGCGAUGGUGCAGAUGCUCAAAAUAAGCUUGACGUUGAACGCCAUUUUGUAUCUCAAUAUGGGGUCUCGGUUUUGUUGUACAAUAGAGAACGUUGAUUUGAUGGAUGUUGGUUUGAGAGGAGGAAUGCACAUAGGGUAAUAUUUAUAGAGACAAAAUAAGAGUAGGGUGUCUAAAAUGGACAAGGAUUGUCUGCCCUUCUGUUUUGUGUGGUCACGGUUAAGCCACGUUAACAUUUUAUAUAUUUUUUUAUAGAGAUAAUAAGACAAAAAUGAAUAGUAAUAUAAAAUGUUGACGUGACUUAACCGUGACCACACAAACAGGAGGGCACGGGAGGGCACCGGAAGUGGGAGGGCAGACAAUCCUUGUCCGUCUAAAGUAGGCCUUAAGAAAUGGGAGGUUGCAUAUAUUUCGAUUCUAUUUAUAGAUAUAGCCAUAGAGGACGGGAAAAGAGAGAGAAAGAAUAGAUUGACUUACAUUAAUUAAGAAUUAAAAAGUUACUUAAUAACACGGUCUAGUGAUAUUUAUUGUCAUUUGUAAUUGAGAGAUUUUAGGUUUGAUUUUUACUAAAAGCGAAUUCGAACCAAAUUAAUAUGGUACCCAUCCCCCACACUGAGUGUAGAUAAUAUCCAAUGUAUUAAAUUAUUUUUUAAGAGAUUGACAAAAAAAAAAAGUUAUGGGAUUGGAAAAAAAAACAGAAUUUGGUUUGGGUAACUAAAAUUUUGUUAUCUUGCAUGUUUUUUGGAUUCCUUUUCGUUGUCCGGAGUUUUUUUUCAAGUGGUUUACCUAGUUAAGGAUUUUUCUGAUACCUUAUCUACAAAAAAUUGUUCUGCUCAUAUUCUUAGUCUUUCGAUUCUUGAAUAAAAUCCAUUUUUUUUCCAAAAAAACGAUUACUUUAUUUUGCGGCAGUCCUAAUUCUUUCAAAAGUGUGAUUGUGUAAAUCUUAGUAGAUUGUGUGUAGGAUUCUAUGAGAUAUUUUAGAUUUCGAUAAUGUACUUGUGUUACUUGGAGAGCAAGAUUAUCCCUUCCUUAUCACAUUAAAUAAAGGCACAAAGAAGUGAGAAAUCAAACAACACAAUUCUCAAAGUCUCUCCACUCUCUCUGCCACCGGCCCUCUCCCUCUCUUUUCCCUCAGUAGAAUAGGCUUACAAUAUGUUAUCAACACACUCCCGUUACUGCGCCAAGAAACUAAAGAAUUUUGGACAAGGAUCUUCUACAUCAUUCAAAGGCUUUCAUCGUUUCCAUCUAAUCCAAGUUCUUAUAAAACACAUAAUCGAUAUUUUAUAAACCCUGAUAGCAUGAAAACAUUCCCCAUGAAUUCGUGAUGCAUGAACACCAAAUUUGUAAGGGUACUAUGUACAUACAACAAGAUUUUAUUUCACUCUCUAAGUACAAAGGCUCAUUUAUCUAAUUGUACGUAAAAAGAAAAAAAAAGAUUAAGCCCUUGUGCAACGGAAAUUAAUUUCAUCUAUUAAGUAAUAUGUAUCCGACGGAAUGCAAUUUCGUCUCUUAUUGUACAUAUUAAAAAACAAAAAAAAAAAAAUUUGUCUUGCGCAAUGGAAAGAAAUUUCGUCUAUUAAGAUAACUUGCCCAAUGGAAGUCUGCAAGACUCCGGCGCCUAAAGUAGUUAGGGUUCAAGGUAUUCGUCGGGCAAGAUUACCUUGGUCCGUUGGACAAGUAUAUUGGCAUAUCUUCACCGAGGAUUUUUGGAGUGGGGAAAACUAAUUUCCACAAUCCAACCAUCAAUACAGUUGAUAUAAGGCUUGUUUAGAUGUGCUUUUAAAAUAAAUGAAAGCACUUUUAGAAAAAAUAUUUUUGGGUUUUAAAAGCACUGUAAGUGUUUUCUGCAAGAAGCACCAGUUAUGUGCUUCUUCCAGGAAGCACUUUAAGACCUUUUCCAGAAUUUACUUGCAUCUUUACUAAUGAUUGGUUCUAAAAAUAUUUUCACCAAAAGCGCUUUCAGUCAUUUCAAAAGCACAUCCAAACGAGCUCCAUAAUAUGAGAUUUUAUACGCCAAAAUUCACUAAAAUAAACAUUUGAGCAUUAGGUAAUGAGACGAAUUCCUUCAAUGGUUGGAAACUAAAAUUAAAUUUUAGCUCUGAAUUUUCCGAAUUUUUACAACUACACUUACCGACUCUAGAAUAAGACAAUGAACAGACCCGAUCAUGAUUUAAAAAUACUUACAAACAAAAUGGUACAAUACACCUAAUAGGGCUAAGGAUUAAAACACUAAGUGUUGGUUGAAUUGAAUGCAUUGUGGGGAUUCGAACUCUACGAAAUUAUUUUUAAUGAUCCAACUAUCAAACUUGUUUGAAUGUAAUAAAAGAUCGCAUACGUAAAAAAUCAUCAAAAAUAAACUUGCACAGCUAGAGAUUGGUCUUAAAGGUUGGACAAUUACAAACUUAGUAUCACGAUUUAACGGCUAUAUUACUUUUUGAUUCUGUUAUUUUGAAUUGUUUUAUAAUUUUUACUUAUUGCCCGACGAAAUGGUUGUUUCCUAGGGCGGGAGGCAAAGCAGUCGUUGGGUAAGGUUGGAACUGUCGACGGGCAAAGUUUCGAGUUUUCCCCCAUUUUUUUUCACAAAAAUCAAAAUUCCCUCCAAAAAUUGGAUUUGCUCGACAGUCUGCGUGGUACAAUACGUCGGAUUAAGGUGUUUCCCCACCCUUUUUUCUGCAAAAACUUUUCACUUUGCAGUAUUUUUUAUCUAAAUCCUUACUCGAUGGAAUGUGUCAUCGAGCAAUCCCCGAAAUCUGACACGUGUAAAAAAUUUAAAUCCUUGCCCGACGAAUGGUUCCAUCAGGCAAAGGCCUUUUCUCCUAAAUCCAUUUGCUGCAAUUCAUCAUCUCCCUGCAUCUCUCACUCUCUCUCCAAAAUUCCUGCAUUGCUAAAAUUAAAGGAAAACUAAUGAAAAAUGUUUGAAAACUUUGAGUUUUAAAGAUAAGAACAAAAUAAAGGGUAAAGUGAAUAGUACCAGGUUUGAUUUUUUAGUGUAAAAAUGUGGUUUUUCGUUAAAAUGAACAGUACCGUGGGCUUUUCGUUAAAACUCCCUAAAAUUAAUGGCUCCACUUUAGCUUUCACCUACAAUCAAGGAAGAAAAUAUCGGUAAUAUCGGAAAUAUCGGUAGUCCGAAAACACAGAAAUAUCGAUGGAAAUAUCGGGAUAAUAUCGAUAUCGAUAAAAAUUACAUGGAAACCACGGAAAUUGUAAGAAAAACUUGGAAAUUUUUAAUGAAACUUUGCAGGAUGUUUAUUUAGUCAAUUAUCUAUUAGUUUAUCACAAAAAAUUGGAAGGAAAUGUAUUGCAUGAUGGAUUUAACUGAUUUAAGUUGAUUAUAUAGCGAGCUGGCAAACAUUGUGAGUGUAGAAAAUAUGUAGUAAUUAAUGAAAGAAGUUUAAACACACCAUAAUCAUUUAUAUAUAAUGAAUUAGUACAAUAUUUUACACUUUAUACAUUGCAUGGUAAGAUACAUGAGUGACUUAGUACCACAUAGAGUUCAUAUGAGGUUCAAAAUUUUCAUUAUCUUCGUCAUCUCUAUGUGUAGAGUAAGUGUAUUUUAGCAUAUUUUCACAAAAACAUAAGUGAUAUGGUGGUCAAGGUGUUGAAGGAGUAAAAUGGGAGGGGUUCGAAUCCCCUUGGUGUUUUUAAAUAUAGAAAUUUAUCCUAGAUAAUAAAUAUUAGCUUGCAAGCCUUGCAGAUAUCUUAACAACCAUAUAAAUAUUACAGGCUGAAUAUGUAAUUACAAACACAUCUAUAGCGAGUUGGAUAAGGUCUAGGUGUGUGGUUGACAAAGGGAGGGGUUUGAAUCCCCCUGGUGUUUUUUUUUUCUUUCUUAUUUUCUUUUCCUUUUCCUUUUCUUCUUUUGUUUUCUCCUACCUUUCAACUAAAUAAUUCAUAAUUUAAAUUUAUAUAACCUUUAUAUAUAUAUAUAAAAUAUAUCUCAAACUUUUAAAAUUAUAAAACAUGCACGUAGUGUGGGUGGAUCUCAAACUUGGACAACUUUUUAAAAUACAAAGAACCCACUACGUGGGUUUUCAUAAUUAAAACAUGACCACAACUUUUUAAAAUACAAAAACCCAACCCACUACGUGGGUUUCUCCCCUACCCUGAGACCCCAUUUCCUUCUCUCUCUCUCUUCUCUGCACUGUCUCUCUCUCUCAAAAGUUCGAAACCCUCUUACCUCUCUCCCUCUCUUGCCGUGACCACACACACACACGCAGCAACACCAUCUGCUCGACUCGAGCAGAUCGAGGGCACCACCAUCAUCACACAUCAUCAGUCUUCUAUCUCCCGCCUCUGCGAGAAUGGCGGAGCCCAUAACUCUCCGGCGAGUCUUCUUUGAUUUUCCGGUUAGGUAAGUCUCGGAUCUCUCUCUCCGUGUUAGUGCGAAGCUCAAAUUAGUUUGAUUUGCUGCACUGCCCUUCGUUCACCACCGCAGAAGAACAGACAGGGAGCUUGUACUGCUCUAGGGGACUAUGGCGAAGGUAGCGCAUUCGUCGUCGCCGUCAUCGCCAUCGUCACCAUCACCGUCGGUGGUCAGGUCAACUCCCUGUCCCUCACCUUCUUACCUCUUCGAUUGAUUCAUGCAUAUGAAUUGUGGUUGUGUUUUCAAUCGCUCUAUAGCUUAGAUCUUGAUCUUAAUCGUGUUUUUGCAAGGUUUUUGGGACGAAAUCGGCUCGGGAAUCGGCACACCCAUUUCCGGCGUUCUUCUCCGAGUAGCCCAAUUCCAAAAUAUCACGAUAAUUUCGGAAAUAUCGCGAUAUUAUCGAUAUUAUCGAUAAUAUCGCGGUAUUUGGACGAAAACCCUUUGGAUACCUAUUAAAAUAUCGGUCCGGCGAAAAACCGAUAAUAUCGGCGAUAUAUCGCCAAUAUUAUCGGCAUUUUCUUCCAUGCCUACAAUAUCUCUUCCCAAGUUUCUCCAUCUCUCAUAGUCCCAUAAAGGUAUUACAUUUAUUUUCAAUAAUUUUAAAGUUGUGAAAUCCGUAAUGAAAAAAUUAGAUAUAGUUAUUGUGAAUGUGUUUUUUAUUAGUAUGUUUUAAUAUUUGAGAUAAUUUUGCUUGAAAAAAUUGGGGAUAUUGUUAAGGAAUGAUAUUGGGAUUUUGGGGGGAUUAUUUUAGGGGUUGAAGAAUGGGUGGGACGGCCAGCUUGGGGGAGGGAGAUGGGUGGCGAGAGAGACAUGUUUGGAUACGUUAUUAACAUUUUCAUUAAAAUUAAUGGCUCCCAUUAUUAUAUGUAUAUUUUUUAAAAUAUUAGAUAUAGUUAGAAAAGUAGGGAAAUUUGAGAAAUUUUUUACAUAAAUGCCUAGGUGCUGCAUAACCGUCACCAUUUCCCUUGCCCAACGAGUAAGGGUUGAAUAUUGCCCUAUAACUACCCAUAAAUGGAGUCUCCCCCGAAGUAAAGCAAUCCCUAAUGGUAGACUCUCGGUAAGUGUUUUUUAAUUUCAUAUUAUUAUUAAUUUUAAUUAUUAUAGAUAUUUACUAAAUUAUUGUAUUUUGAUAACUACACUUGUUUUUUGUCUAGUCUAGACCAAUUUCUAUAUCAACUUGGAAGACUUGGGUACGGUGGAAUGCGUUAAGUGGUUGUGGACUACGAGAUUCAGAGAGUAGAUGUUUGAGCUGCGCACCCAGUACAAGACUUUUGCAAGUCAUGAAGAAGCUCUGACCUAUCCGCCCCAUGAAUUUGCGAAUAGAAUGGACUAGUGGAAGUGGCUCUGUGAUUAUUUUCAGAAUUUAUAAAUUCUGAAACGAGUGAAGCUAUUUUUGUCAUCCGGAAUGAUUUUUUAUUUUAUCUUCAACAAUAUUGUACGAAUUGUGGAAACCUUUAAGGGAAGGGAUCCCUACUUUUUUUUUUUUUUUUUUUAUAAAAAUGGGAUUAGUUGUAGGGUCCACACCACAUCAAACUUUAACGAUUCGAACCGUUUAUUUUUCAAGUUACACCUCAUAUAUCAUCCUUGCAAAAUAUUAGUCAAAUCGGAAAUGUUUAAGACAUUUAAUUGAGUUCAAAGAAAUUAACGAAUACUUUGUUAUAUAAGAAACAAUGAAAUUUUAUCUUGAUAAUUAAAUAGGCAAAUGAUUUCAGAUUGAAUUAAAUUUUUGCAAGGAUGAUUUAUAAAUCGAGACUUACAAAAUAGAUGGUUCGAAUCGUUAAAAUUCGACUUGGAGUGGACCCCACAUCUAAUCCCUAUUUUUUGAAAAAAAAAUAGAGAUUCAUUUGCAUAAAGGGCAUGAAUUGUUAUUAAUUAAAUAAACUUGUUUAAUAUUAUGCUAUUAAUAUAACAAUACUUAGUUAAUUAUUAAAUUAAGUUUUUUUUUUCAUUUAUUAGUUAUCUUGCCCAACAACGCUCUCCGUCGGCCAACGAGAUAAAAUAAUUAUUUUUCUUCUGAUAAGGGGUUACUAACCAUACGAGUAAAGCGAUGUCUAUCGGGCAUCUGCAGUCAACACAAACUUACAUGAUGGAGGUUUGUCGCUUUGUCCACUAGACAAGACCUUGUUGCCCUGACAAAAAUUUGUAUCCGCCGACAAAAAUGUCUUACGACGGUUCUUGGGCGACGAUUACUUCCCGAUGGAGUUCCGUUGCCUUAUCUUUUGCUUGACGAACGUUGUCCUUAAGAGACGAAUUUUGUUCGUCUCCUAAGUUUUUUUUGUUUUUUUUGGGUAGUGGUUGGGUCUCGAUCGUGUUCAGCUGGAUUUAGAUUCAUACGUUCCUAUUAACAUAAUUAAUGUCAAAGCACAACCUUCUUGGAGAAUUAUGCAUGUCAACCAAGAUAUCAAUUUCCUCAAGUUUUUACAACUAUCGUUCACACGUCUUCCGAAAAGUGAAUAUGGUAAAUGGUGCAAUGGCGGCAAUAAAGCAACAUUAUCAUCAUAAUUGUACUUGGUUCUAACAAUUUUCUAGUAAUAACGUUAAAAGAUAGAUAUACUAUGAUUAUAUGUUUGUAAAGGUCCAUAGAAAAUCCUGGCUGUAACUUCAGCUUGUUAAAAAACAUUACCCAAAAAAAAAAAUGGUUAAUCAUUUUUUUAUUAUUUUUCUGUCACCUCUCACCAUAUACAGCAACAUGAAUGUAUUCGUAUACAGCAAUAGAAACCAACAUCUGUCGCCAUCCCCCCUUAAGACCAAAGGCAUUAUUUAUAUACAAUAGUUUCUAGUAGGGGCGCUCGUCGUCCUGGUAAGAAGGAUCGUAGUUGCAAAUGACAUAGUUUUGUCCAUUCUUGCACUUUGAAAUGCCACAUCCAACAUAAGUAGUUUUGCCCCAUAUCACACCAAGGUAGUGGCCACAUUCAUCUCGGACACAUUUGUUUUGCUGGUAGUCAUAGAAUUCCUUCUCGGUGACCCAGUAUUUGGUAGCGGCUGCACCGGUCAUGCCAUCACCAGAGGCCAAGUUCUCGCCGUAAGGCCCCAUUGAGUGCUCCAUUUGGCAGUCCUCGAUUCUUUUGUCGGCAUAAGCUUGAGCGUACUCGGCUAUGGUCUCGUUCCAUUUGAGUGGUCCAUUGCCAACCUCGGCACGAGCUAUGUUGUGUUCCCUGAUGAAGCCAUCAAUCUCUUCUUUGGGUAGGAUUGCGGCGACAUGGGUCAUGAUGAUUGCAAUGGUGAAGAUGCCCAAAAUAAGCUUGACGUUGAACGCCAUUUUGUAUCUCGAUAUGGGGUCGGUUUUGUUGUAUGGUAGAGGACGUUGAAUUGAUAGCUGUUGGUUUGAAAGGAGGAAUGCAGAUAGGGUUAUAUUUAUAGAGACAAAAUAAUAGUAGGGUGUCAAAAAUAGUCCUUAAGAGAUGGGAGGUUGCAUACAUUUCGAUUCUAUAUAUAGAUAUAGCGGUAGAGGACGGGUAAAAAAAGAGAGAAUAGAAUAGACUGACUUACACUAAUUAAGAAUUGACAAACUACUUAAUAUUACAGUCUAGUGAUAUUGAUCUUUAUUUGUAAUUGAGAGAUUUUAGGUUUGAUUCUCGCUAAAGACAAAUCCAAACUAAAUUAAUAUGAUACCCAUCCUCACUCUUGAGUGUAGAUAAUAUCCAAUGUAUUAAUUUUUUUAUGAGAUUAACAAAAAAAAAAAAAGUUAUGAGAUUGGCAAACAAUAGAAAAAAUAGAAUUUGGUUUGGCUCACUAAAUUUUUUUAUCUGGCAUGUUUUUUGGUUUCCUUUUGCCUGUCUGGAGUAUUUCAAGUGGUUUACCUAGUUAAGGAUUUUUCUGAUACCUUCCCUUAUAAAAAUGUUCUGCUAAUGUACUUAUUCUGUUGGAUAAAAACCCACCUAUGUAUAAACAUCCAAUAAAAACCCAAAAUUUAAAUAAAUUGCCACAUAAAAAAAAAGUAACAUAUUAAUAUAAGAUUUUUACAAUUUAUGCCACAACAUUCUAUAAUUGUUUUUGACACACCCCGACCGACAACAAUCUUACUUAAAACCUGGAGGGGCGCAAAACAGAAAACGUGAGUGGGCAAAAACAAACGUUUUACAAAAUCAUUUCAUUUAUCAACAUACUAACCCCUCGCUGUAAAACAUAUAUUAAUUUCCCAGAAUCAAGAUGUAAGCAUAUACAUAUAUAACUGAAAUCAUAUUAAAUCAGUUCAUGCUUCACAUAAUCAUAUUCAUAUGCAUGUCAUGCCAAAGUAUAACAAAGUAAGCUAUCCAGGUAAGUUUAAUUUCAUAGAAAUAUGAUAUGUUAGCCGGAACUCCUGUCGUAGUCUGUACGGCUGAAUUCAUAGCUCAAACUCAAUCUAGCCGGAAUCACUACUAUGACCUAUACGGCAAUAUACUGCACAUAAGUCGGAACCGCUGGAAAGGGUCUGUACGACAAGGUUGGGUGUAAUACAGUUAUGCUCAAUUCUACUUUCUCAAUACUAGUUGUGCGAUAAUACGUUAGUCACCUAUGAGUCGGAACCAUCUAUAGUGGUCUGUACAACAAGACUGUGCACCUAAAUUGGAUCCAAUGUGAGCAUAUGGUGCGGGAGGUGACAUAAUAUAAGAAACAAUGAAAUUUUAUCUUGAUAAUUAAAUAGGCAAAUGAUUUCGGAUUGAAUUAAAUUUUUGCAAGGAUGAUUUAUAAAUCGAGACUUACAAAAUAGAUGGUUCGGAUCGUUAAAAUUCGACGUGGAGUGGACCCCACAUCUAAUCCCUAUUUUUUGAAAAAAAAAUAGAAAUUCAUUUGCAUAAAGGGCAUGAAUUGUUAUUAAUUAAAUAAACUUGUUUAAUAUUAUGCUAUUAAUAUAACAAUACUUAGUUAAUUAUUAAAUUAAAUUUUUUUUUCAUUUAUUAGUUAUCUUGCCCAACGACGCUCUCCGUCGGCCAACGAGAUAAAAUAAUUAUUUUUCUUCUGAUAAGGGGUUACUAACCAUACUAGUAAAGCGAUGUCUAUCGGGCAUCUGCAGUCAACACAAACUUACAUGAUGGAGGUUUGUCGCUUUGUCCACUAGACAAGACCUUGUUGCCCUGACUAAAAAUUUGUAUCCGCCGACAAAAAUGUCUUACGACGGCUCUUGGGCGACGAUUUCUUCCCGAUGGAGUUCCGUUGCCUUAUCUUUUGCUUGACGAACGUUGUCCUUAAGAGACGAAUUUUGUUCGUCUCCUAAGUUUUUUUUUUUUUUUUUUUUUGGGUAGUGGUUGGGUCUCGAUCGUGUUCAGGUGGAUUUAGAUUCAUACGUUCCUAUUAACAUAAUUAAUGUCAAAGCACAACCUUCUUGGAGAAUUAUGCAUGUCAACCAAGAUAUCAAUUUCCUCAAGUUUUUACAACUAUCGUUCACACGUCUUCCGAAAAGUGAAUAUGGUAAAUGGUGCAAUGGCGGCAAUAAAGCAACAUUAUCAUCAUAAUUGUACUUGGUUCUAACAAUUUUCUAGUAAUAACGUUAAAAGAUAGAUGUACUAUGAUUAUAUGUUUGUAAAGGUCCAUAGAGAAUCCUCGCUGUAACUUCAGCUUGUUAAAAAACAUUACCCAAAAAAAAAAUGGUUAAUCAUUUUUUUUUUAUUUUUCUGUCACCUCUCACCAUAUACAGCAACAUGAAUGUAUUCGUAUAUAGCAAUAGAAACCAACAUCUGUCGCCAUCCCCCCCUUAAGACCAAAGGCAUUAUUUAUAUACAAUAGUUUCUAGUAGGGGCGCUCGUCGUCCUGGUAAGAAGGAUCGUAGUUGCAAAUGACAUAGUUUUGUCCAUUCUUGCACUUUGAAAUGCCACAUCCAACAUAAGUAGUUUUGCCCCAUAUCACACCAAGGUAGUGGCCACAUUCAUCUCGGACACAUUUGUUUUGCUGGUAGUCAUAGAAUUCCUUCUCGGUGACCCAGUAUUUGGUAGCGGCUGCACCGGUCAUGCCAUCACCGGAGGCCAAGUUCUCGCCGUAAGGCCCCAUUGAGUGCUCCAUUUGGCAGUCCUCGAUUCUUUUGUCGGCAUAAGCUUGAGCGUACUCGGCUAUGGUCUCGUUCCAUUUGAGCGGUCCAUUGCCAACCUCGGCACG
rnacentral:lncRNA from 1 species